rnacentral:rRNA from 1 species
ACGCCAUUAAGUGGAUGACUUGGCUCGAGAGCUGAUGAAGGUCGUGGCAAGCUGCGAUAAGCUUGGGGUAAGUGCAUGCAACUAUUGAUCCCAAGAUUACUGAAUCGGACUUCUGUUCUUUUAGAAAAUCAGAAAUGAUGAGUUACGCGGGGGAUUGAAGCGUCUUAGUACCCGCAGGAAAAGAAAUCAAUUGAGAUGCGGUUAGAUAUAUCAGCGAGAAAAAACCGUACAGGGCAAACCGAAUCCUUUAUUGAAAGAUAAAGGACAUGUGGUGUUUGGGCAAGUUUUUUACCCUAGUUAGUGAAUUUGAACUACUUUGGAAAAAGUGACCAUAGAGAGUGAUAGUCUCGUAAAAAUAAACUAAAGGGUUGUAAUUUGUUCCAGAGUAAGAUGCAUUGGAUAUUGCGUCUGAAUAUGGGGGGCAUCAACCUCUAACCCUAAACACACCUCGAGACCGAUAGCGUACUAGUACCGUGAGGGAAUGUUGAAAAGAAUCUGUAACAGGAUGUGAAAAGACCUGAAACUUAAUGGUAAUAGUAUGAUGCUGCUUUUAGGAGUUGCAUCGUACGUUUAGAAUAACGGACCAGGGAGUAUGCCUGAGUGGCGAGGAUAAUUUUUUUAAGAAAGUAUCCAUAGCGAAAGCGAUUUCCCGCAUGUAAAGAGGGGAGUGGUGUGAAUAGUGCCAUAAGUCACUUGGGUCUUACCCGAAACCGAGUGAUCUAGCCGUGAGCAAGGUGAAGCAGAGGUAAAACUUUGUGGAGGCCUGAAGAGUUUCUGCGGACAAGCGUUCUUAUGACUUGUGGCUAGGGGUGAAAAGCCAAUCGAACUCGGUAAUAGCUGGUUCCUGCCGAAGUGGGCCGAAGUCCAGUCUUGACGGAGAUUGUUAUGGUGGUAGAGCUACGGAUUUGAGAUUUUGGGGGAGAAAUCCUUCGGUCUCUUGUUCAACUCCGAACGCCAUUACAUCGUAGAUGUCGGGAUACGGCGGUGGUCGGUAAGCGUUCAUCGCGAGAGGGGAACAACCCCAACUAUAGUUAAGGUCCCUAAAUACUGUUUGAGUGUUAAAGGGUGAAAGGUGUAUAAUACCUAAGACAGAUGGGAGGUAAGCUUAGAAGCAGCUAACCUUUAAAGAAAGCGUAAUAGCUCACCAUUCUAGGUCUUGUGCCCUGAAAAUGGACGGGGCUAAAUCAGUUACCGAUACUAUAGGCGUCUUUAUAGACAGCGGUAGGCAGGUGUCCUGUUUGAGUAGAAGUCAGCUCGUAAGUGUUGAUGGAUCGAAUAGGAAUAAGAAUCCUGGUGGUAGUAAGAUCAGUUCAUAGUGAGAAUCUAUGGUACCUGAAGGGCAAGGGUUUCUUGGCAAUGUAGUUCAGCCAAGAGUAAGUCGAUCCUAACCUAUUUCGUAAUGGAAUAAAGGGAAAGGGAAAAAGGUUAAAAUUCCUUUACCAUCCAAAUACCUGGUAACAAAAGUUUUAUUCUUGACAUUUGGGGAUAAACUAACAUUUCUAGUCUGGAAUGUUAAUUAGGAUAAGUCAAAGGAGUAUCGUAACGAUGAGAAUUUGAUUAAACCUAAGAAUAGUUUGUCUUAUGACGAAUUUAGUUAACUCCUCGAAUCCGUGAAAAAAGAAUAAAAAUGAAUUUUGGAUGUUCGUACCCAGAACCGGCACAGGUGCCCCUAGGUGAGAAACCUAAGGUAUGAGGGAGUAAUCCAACUAAGGGAAUUCGGCAAAUUAGUUCCGUAUCUUUGGUAUAAGGAAUCCCUGCGAUUGUAGUCAUAUGAUUGCGAUUACAGGGUGCAAUUACAAGAAGGGUCCGACUGUUUAACAAAAACAUAACUGAUCGCUAGCCUGUAAAGGUGUGUAUGGUCAGUGACGUCUGCCCAGUGCUAGUACUUGAAUCUCUUUUUCAAUGGAGCUAAGAGCUAGUAAACGGCGGGAAUAACUAUGAUUCUCUUAAGGUAGCGAAAUGCCUUGCCGUUUUAUUGACGGCUUGCAUGAAAGGCGUAACGAGAUCCUUACUGUCCCUAGUUGGAAUCCCCUGAACACACUUCCCUGGUGCAAAGGCCAGGGACCUCCGGUGGGAAGUAUAGACCCCGUAGAACUUUACUACAGUCAUUUGUUGUAAUGUUAGUUUUGUUGUGCAGUGUAGGUGGGAGUUGCUAAAGCUCAGGCGUCAGUUUGAGUGUAGACAUCGAUGAGACACCACCCUGCAAAAUUGACAUUGCUCACUUUUGUAAAAAAGGACAUCAUAUGAUGGGUAGUUUGGCUGGGGCGGCACCCUGCUGAAAAGAUAU